rnacentral:sRNA from 1 species
GGGGUGCACGCCCCGGUGGCCGAAUGGGUAAUGCGGCCACCAGGUAGCGCCUUGGCGUGGGGACCCAGGGUGCGUGGGUUCGAAACCCACAGGGGACAACAUUACAUCCAGAGCCAACUUCUCAGCUCCUAAAAUAAUGGGAUGUGAACUUGCCAAGUAGAUACCUUCGGGCGGACCUACUACCUGAUUUAGCUUAUUGUUUCUGGGCUGGAAACCUGUAUUGCAUGUACCAAUUCUGUCUUUCAUUAAUUUUCCUAUGUUCUUGUUAUUCUUGGCGCUGUUCAACACUAAGCAUUCCUCCGGUAUAACCAACUCUUGCCUGUAUUUAACAUCACACAAGGACUCGUCAUAAGCGCUGCUUGCAUACGAGUAUAACGGAAGAAUAAUAAUAAUAAUAAUAAUAAUAAUAAUAAUAAUGAUGGGGUGCAUGUGAGGUCACGUGAGGUCAUAUUACAGUGUUUUUUGCACGGAAAAGUUGGUUUUUCUAUAAUAUAAAGAGAGAUUGUCCAGUGAAGUACGACUGCCGGUCUCGCUAUCUGCUUCUGUAUCUUGCACUGUAUUCAUCAAACGACAAAACACACUAGUGACAGUUCCUUGUGGCUGGGAAAUUUCUCGCUGGGCCAUCUUCAAUGUUAUUCGACCAGCCACUUCUAUUUCCUCUUUGUAGUGGCGUGGGGAAUACUAGUUCGGUGCUUGCACACGCUAGAAAUGUAUUUGGAAAUCCCAAUACCGCGCCUCAGGCAAAUACAGUCCUCGCUGUCGAAGUUAUAUAGGGCCUUGGUGCCUGACUUGACAGCCAAAGUUUAUGAUUCUUGUAUCAUGCUUACCAUAUAAAUUUCUAGCCCGCACAAGGGACGACUUUCCACGCCUCCGUACGGAUUACUUCUAUAUGAUUGUUGAUCUGGCAGCAGUCAAUGAAUUAAAGGCAGGGCUGGGGAAUGAGGCAGGUUGGUGAUAUAUUAUGCUGGAAGGGGUUUUUUUUUUUUUUCCCUUCUCUUAUUUUUGCUUUCUUAUCUUCUUCUUUUCGCUUUCCCCCUUGCAUAGUGUUUUGGCAAGCGGCUCCUUGCGUUCUCUCUUCAAGUACUAUAAACUUCUCCUUUAAACUCGAUACAUGAUUAUUCUCUGCAUUUAUUUCUUCCAUUUUUACUCAUAGAUUACGAACAGUUUGCCCUGAAAAAGGGAUUUGCAUCUGUAUAAAAACGGGAGACGAUAACAUAUAUCCAAAUCUCAAUUCCAAAUUUGGCAGCUUUCUCCUUCCAAGAACCUCAGGGCUGUAAUCCUGUAUCAAGCACCUUUUGGAUCUCGAAAGCCAACCACCAAGUUGCCUGCUCCGUAGACAUCGAAAGAGGAACGAAGGGGCUCCCCGACCCGCACAGCCCACCGGACUUGCUCUCUGCAUUGUUACGCCACCACACAUCGAUACGAAGAAGCAAAAGACAAAACAACGAAAAAAAAAAAAGAAAAUGGUUAAGCGAAACAUUACCAUCGCUAUUAUCCUCAUCCUUUUCUUCCUACUCGUCGGAAUAAUCUGCUUCGUGAUCUACGCCAUUAAAAACAGCCUCGCCUUUUUCGGCCGUCAGAGAGCAGUCGAUGAAGAGGAUGGAGAGUGACUAAUCGGUUCGUUCGACCUAUAUAUAAUACCGGUCGGUAUAUAUCACCCGAUGCACCAAUCUAAAAAUUCGAUGAAAGUGGUUGGAGGCAGCGGGGGCUUGAAGAGCUGGGGAAAAAAAAAAAGAUAUCAUGGGAAUUUAAGUCGCCAUACAGGAGACUUUUCCCACGUCGCGAGAUUUCUUCUCUAAAGUUGAAUUUCAAAUCUUUUACUAUUUCCUACCAUGGUCUGAACGGAACGACUGCAGAAAAAGCGCCUUCUCCAAAAGGACCGCCUUUCAUCGACUCCAGGACCACAGUUCCGAAUAACGAACGCCCUUACGUCGCCGUAUAUAUAAACCGUGCAAAUCCGGGCCCACGACAUUUGAUAUAUGCACAUGAUAUACCCCCUUCUUAUAUUAUAUACUCAUCUUCAUUUACCCACUAGUUAUUGCUACUUCCCCCCGAAACGUGGGAAUUCGUAUUUAUUAUCGCCAUUUUUACAGCUUACGAUGAUGACGGGUUUGGGUUUGGGUUUGACUUUAUGAUUUUCUCACGAGCAAGCAUGCAUGAAUCGUAAAAAAAAAAAGACGACUUUAUGAAAAUAGGAUUAGAGCUCUUGGGGCGUUUCAUUGGUUAUAUUGGGCGUCUUAAUCGGGGUUUUCGGGUUUGUUGUUUUAUUAUUCAUAUCUUUUACAAUGAUUUUGGGAUACAUAGAUAUGUAUAUGUACUGUACGUAUUCUAUAAAUAUUUUUGUUGCCUCAUUGAAUGUAUUUACGAACACAAUCCAUCCAUGUUACGGUGC